GAGAUUGGGUCUUUCUGUGUAGCCCAAGUUGGCCUUGGAUUCUGGCCCCUCCGAUGUCAGCCACUGGAGUACUGGAUGACAGAGUACACAGACCACAUAGUGAGUUCAAUGGCAGCCUGGGCUCCAGAGUCCAGGUUUCAAACCCCACCACCCAAAAAGGGUAGGGGAGAGAGACGACUCAGUGGCCAAACGCUUUCUAUGAAGGCCCGAGGACGUGAGUUUGGAACCCAGCACAUACCAACAAAACAGAACUAACAAGAACAGGCUUGCUACAGUGUGUCUGAAACCCAGCACUUGGGAGAGGGUGGCAAAGACAAACAGCUCCCUGGACCUCACUGAACAGUCAGUCAACCUGAAGCAAUGAGCUACAGAUUCACAGAGCAAGUGGAGAGAAGCCAGCCAGAUGGCUCAGCACUUGCCAAACACAAGGGCCAUGUAACCUGAUUGCUUCCAUGUGGUGGAAGAUCUCUCUUUCCAUCUCUGUGUCUCUCUCUCCAGCGUACCUCCCAAGCAAACAAGGGGCCAGCUGGGCCACUGGAAAAACCAGACUUGCAGAGAAACCAGACUUGGGGCCUGGCAUGCAGCCAGGGCCCCAAGAGGAGGCAGGUCACAUGGAGAGUUGCAGUAGGACCCUAGGGUGCCCUUUUCCAAAGACCUUGGAAGAGAAGCAGGCAAAUGAAAAUCCCCCUUCUUGGGAUUCCAGGAUGAGACCCUACAGGGAUAGGACCCGGGAGCCAAGCCUGCAUUCCCAG